AUGUUCAUCUCCUUAUCUGUUUGGGAUGGACAGAUGUUGCAGGACAUGGAUCAGCGGCUGCAGGAGGAAGGGUUGGACUCCUCGGCCUCCAGCGAUGAGCGUCUGUCUCUGCUGUGGCAGCUUUACAGGAGCAGCGAAAGUACCGUGAGAUCCCUCAACCAGCAGAUACAAGACUUGCAGAAGGAACGUGUUGCUGAGAUUGAAAAUGUUCAGCAAUAUGUUAAUCAAAUUAAGAGUCUCACAAAGACCCGAGAUUCUGUGGCUUUACAUCUUGAGCAAGAAAACAAAACGCUCCAUGCUACUCUGGAUGACAUCUACCGACAACAAGAAGCACAGAGGAGUGAGAUCUCUGAGAUGCUACUUCAGGAAGGUCUGGCUGAUAUUAUUCCCAUCAGCCUGAGUGAACAGGUGGCGUACCUCCUCGCAGACAGAGCCUCCCUGCUGGAGAAAACACAAAGCCAGGAGAAUGUGGACGGGAAGACCGCACAGGAGCCUGAUGUCCGUAAGGAGCAAACGUCAAAGGAGUGUAGAGAGAAUGUGGUCAAAAGGGUGGCACCACCAGACAUUCAGAGCCCUUGGAAGAGGCUUCUAGGACUCAGAAAGGCUGCUCAGAGUGAACAGAAAUUACUGCCUACGGUUGACCUGCAGUUCAGCAGGGAUGACACACUGAAGGGACGAACAUUGCAGGAACUGGAGCGAGAUGUAGAAGAGGCCUCUGCUCGACUCGCCAUGGCCCACAAGGAGAUCCGCAGACUCACGGAUGAGCUGGAGUCUGCUCACCUGACCCAAAAGGCUUAUGAACCAGAGCUGCAAGAAGCUCAAAUGGAAGUUGAGCACCUCCGUCAUGAAGUGGAGAAACUGAAACGCUGUGAAGUUGUGUAAUUGAGAAAAACGAAAAGGAUAAAUGAGAAAAAGGAA
ensembl:lncRNA